AAACGGGCAAGUACAAUACAGACUGUGAAUGGAGGCUUCACGAGAGAAGAGGCUUUGUGGUCUUGUUCUUCACCAUAUUCCCAGUUCCUAGAACACUGGUCAUUCAAAGAUUACACUACCUUGAACUUGAAGAUCAAAACAAAUGAUUAGACUUAUAAGAGACAAACUGCUUUCUGGACAACUAAUUAUUAAUGAGAGAGACAUAGC